rnacentral:tRNA from 1 species
UAAAGGUGAAGCUUUUAUAGCGUUUAACUGUUAAUUAAAAGAAGCCUUCCGCCAUCUUUAU